GCAUAUCAAUAAGCGGAGGAAAAGAAACUAACAAGGAUUCCCCUAGUAACGGCGAGUGAAGCGGGAAGAGCUCAAAUUUGUAAUCUGGUACCUUCGGUGCCCGAGUUGUAAUCUCGAGAAGUGUUUUCCGCGCCAGACCGCAUACAAGUCUGUUGGAAUACAGCGUCAUAGUGGUGAGAACCCCGUACAUGAUGCGGAUGCCUGGUGCUCUGUGAUACACUUUCGAAGAGUCGAGUUGUUUGGGAAUGCAGCUCAAAUUGGGUGGUAAAUUCCAUCUAAAGCUAAAUAUUGGCGAGAGACCGAUAGCGAACAAGUACCGUGAGGGAAAGAUGAAAAGCACUUUGGAAAGAGAGUUAACAGUACGUGAAAUUGUUGGAAGGGAAACGCUUGAAGUCAGACUUGCUAUUUGGAGUUCAGCCGCAAGGUGUAUUCUUCGAUGUGCAGGCCAGCAUCAGUUUUCCGGGGUGGAAAAGGGUCUUGAGAAGGUAGCAGUUUCGGCUGUGUUAUAGCUCUUGACUGGAUUCAUCCUGGGGGACUGAGGAACGCAGUACGCUUUUAGCGAGGCCUUCGGGCUUUUCGUACUUAGGAUGCUGGUGGAAUGGCUUUAAACGACCCGUCUUGAAACACGGACCAAGGAGUCUAACAUGCUUGCGAGUAUUUGGGUGUUAAACCCGGAUGCGUAAUGAAAGUGAAUGUAGGUGGGAUCCGCAAGGUGCACCAUCGACCGAUCUGGAUUUUCUAAGAUGGAUUUGAGUAAGAGCAAUUAUGUUGGGACCCGAAAGAUGGUGAACUAUGCCUGAAUAGGGCGAAGCCAGAGGAAACUCUGGUGGAGGCUCGUAGCGGUUCUGACGUGCAAAUCGAUCGUCAAAUUUGGGUAUAGGGGCGAAAGACUAAUCGAACCAUCUAGUAGCUGGUUCCUGCCGAG
rnacentral:rRNA from 1 species